ensembl:lncRNA
ACUAAACAGCCCCAGCUCCCUCAGCCUCUCCUCAUUGGGCUGAUUUUCCAAGCCCUUCACUAGCCUCGUUGCCCUUCUCUGGACCUGCUCCAGGUCCAGAGAAAAUAAAUGCAUCUGAUAUUACAUGAUUUGCAAAAUAUGGUAGCUGUCUUGAAUUGUUGCAAAGAGCAAGAAAACUAGUUGGGUAGGAGUGAUGUACUAAUUAAGGAAUGCUAUAGGAAUGAUGGAUACUGAGGUAGGUAUCCAACAGGCAUGCGGGGAGAAGAAAUCUGAUCAUAGUUAGUAGGGAAGAAGGAGCCAUACUUCAUGUAAAUUUUAAACCUGCGUUACCAAGAACCAUAGAUAAAGUGAAAGGAAAGCAAGAGAAGCAAGAUGGGAUCCAUGCUGGAGAGAGAAUACACAACCUGAAGGGGAGGCUAAGCAGAAUCUAUUGCCAACAAUCAUAGCUAAGAGGGGAGUGAUGAAUGGCAGUUUGGAGAAGAGGCUAAUCACAGGAAAUAAUUCUUGAAGCCAUUUUCAAACUCAUUAAAGACCAAAAAAAAAAAAAAAAUUACAUGAGAGGAGUCAACAUGUAUUAACGGAGGGCAGAUUACCCAGAUUACGCUUGGUCAGCCUGAUAACCUCUGAUGAUUGGGUUGGUGGAUGAGUGGAGAACAGUCAGCAUUGUUUAUUCUAACUUCAGUAAGGCUAUCAGCACUGUCUUCCAUAGUACUGUAGCAUAUAAAGUGAUGAAGUAUAACGUAUAUUAGUGAACAGUGAUGUGGAUUGAAAACUUGCUGAAUUGUUGGGCCUAAAGGUUUCUCAUCACUGACAUGAAGCCCAGUUGGAGGGUACUCAUAGAUGGUGUAUCAAAGAGGUUUAUCCUGAGGCCUGUAGUAUUUAACCUCCUCAUUAAUGACCUAGUCUACACAACAGAGGGCUCCCUCAGAAAAUUUGCAGGUGACAGAAAACUAGGAGGAGUGGCAGAUAUAUCAGAUAGGCUGUCAUCCAGAGGGACCUCAGCAGUUUGGAGAAGUGGGCUGAGAAGAAUCUCAAAGAUUAACAGGAGAAAGUACACAGUCCUGCACCUGAGAAGGAAUAAAAUCAUUAGUAAAUGCUGAGCACUAACCAGCUAGAAAAUAUCUUUGCAGAAAAGCACCUAGCAGUGCUGGUGGAUGACAAGUUGAAUAUAAGCCAACAAAAUGCUUUUUCAAUGAAGCAGCUUAUUGUACACUUGAGGCUUGAGAAACAUAAGCUUGCACUAAUAAACAGCUAUGUUGAUACAUACAUAAUGUGUUAAAA